AUUUUGCAAUUUUAAUGUUAACUGAGAAAUUGAAUUCAAUCUAGUCAAUAAAUCUGAAAACAAAACUAUACAAAAAACGGGAUUCUACGAGAUCGUCUAAUAAUGGCAAAAAAAAAAAAAAUAUGUCAAGAUGGCUUCAAAACAUUCUAAGUUUAGACUUUUUAUAAACAUUUGUCUAAAGCUCGCGCUAGUUGUAAAACUAUUUAUUAGUUUGAAAAACAACAGAAUAACUAAUUACUAAGAAUCAAUCAACAGACUCAAUGCAUAGUAUGUUUUUUAUGAACUGACCAAUUGGAUAGUGAUCUUAAAUGCUUUAGGAUUCUGUUUGAUUACAUCCCCAUAGUCGAGGUGGGAAGCACCAGUUUUCCUUGUGCCAGUUGCAUGUUGCCCAUAGAGGAUGACUUUGGCGAUUGAUUCAUCAUCCAUGUGGUGGACAUGACCAAAACAGGCUGGGAUGCCGGAGGGUGAUGCGUAUACUGGGGAGACCUGAGCAAGCUUGUUACUUAAUCUUUUGUGCCAUGAAAUUUUCAAGAUUUGGAAGAGUCAUAUGCGAGGACAAAUUUGUACAAGUGAUCCUUCUUUCAAAGUGCAUUUAGAGCAGGGAAUGAAUUAUUUAAUCAGCCAUUAAACCAAUGUGUUAGCAAAAUCCAGAUGAAAAUUUUCAACCUCAAAAUGGAAGUGAUAUGGAAAGGUGGGAGUCUGAGUCUUAUAAUAUGAACUAUUUUACUCAAGUGCAAAAUAAAUAUAAAUUGACAAUAGACUCAGUGCCAAAAUUUUAUAUGUCUGCUUAUCAAGAGUUUCAGACUAAAAGUGAAGAUAACUUCUUGUGAGGAUGCAAAUGGUCUCUUGAUGGUAGCUGUGUUCUGACAAACAGCAAUGAUAACUGUACCGGUAUUAGAAUCUUUAAACCAUUUGCAACACAAGAUUUGGACAAUGCUGCAAACAAUCAUCUAACUUUGCUUGGUUUCCUGGAAUUAUUUGAUUUUUACCAGAGCUUUGUAGAAUGCAUUAGCAAUACAAGGUGGCCUACAGUACCUAUAGCUUGCCGUUGUCAAACAGUGAAAUACCCUAACAGUGAUUCUCCAUUAGCCUUCUAUCUAACCAGUAAGCCAGCAAAAGAAACUAUAGUGGCAACAGAAAGAAGAGCAGAAAGAGUGGCAAACCUCUGAUGGAGAUCACUAACCGGAAAGAGGGCAUUUUGGAGUUCGUGAAUUGGGCAUUAAUGUUAUAAUUGUCGACGAAUCUCAGACACACUCAUUAGGUAUCUCUUUGAACAAUCAAACCAUUCUUUCCUGUCCCAAAGGUGGCUUCAACUGUCCUCACCCCAACAGUAAAGGAUCUUACAAGUACAGGAUUUGUGUGAUUGACGGAGUUCUGGAGAUAAAUGCUGAAGAUAAACUACAGAUAAAGACAAUGGAGAAGAACACUACGGUUAGAUUUGAGCAGAACCAGAGGUUGCAGUUCAAGGCUGAUCUCCUCCAUAAUACAAUGCCCUCAAAAAUAAGAACUUGAUUUUGUAAAUACUGAGAUAUCCUUACGGCAGCUGUUCACUAGAAGCAAACAUUUUCUUUUUUAAAGAUGGAGGUUUAUUGAUCCAUCGUGCAUUUGUACAUUUAUUGAUUUUAUUCAGUGUUUGAUUUUAAGCAGCUAUUAAGCUUGUUAUUUUCCAAACUGUGUAGGGCCUAUAUGUAGUGUUUUAACUUGCUAAGUCACUAACAUUUGUUGGCUAUGACAAUCGAGUGUCGAUAUCUAACCUAACAAUCGUAUUAUUGCAAUGUAUUAUUCAAGUCAUUUUUACAAUCUCUUAAGAAUAAAAUUUCCAGAAGUUAUGAUGAAACAUUAAUCUAACUUUAAUAAAAUUUGGUUAUCCACUUACACAAACUUUUGUAACCCUUUCCUGCCUUCAGUUAGCCAUACUUUGGUGACGCUAAUGUGAGAUUACGCACCACUGUGGGAUGACCCAAAGUAUAAUAAUAGGUGCGGUACAUAUUUUCAACAUACAAAGACAAUAAUAAGGUAUUUCAAGUGGUAAUAAUUAACAUAGCACAUAGAAAUUAUGAUUAACAUCAAUAUUGUAAACAUCGCUUUAGGAUUAGCUGGCUAAAUUUUUUAACCUUGACAAAAUAGUUGUUGAUACGUAAAUUGUGAUAGGUUCCAGGGAGGAUUAGCUGUUGAUAGUUCCUUCACAGGAGAGGAUUUUUAUAAAUUCUCUUUGACAGAAUAGUUACUAAUAGGUUCCAUUAAAAUUUUACACAGGACCUUUUUAGUCUUAUUUUUUUAAUGCACCUUUUGCUUUGCAGUCAAUAGUUCAGAAAACAACCAGCUUAAAAAGGAACAUACAUUUCCUUAAUUUAAACAAAAAAGUUCUAGCAAUCAUUAUGAAACCAAAAAAAAAAUGUAAAAAAAAAAAGCUAGUCAACAGUUUUGCACCUUCAAGAGAAAUAUAUGCUAAAUAAUGUGAAUGGAUGUUGUUAGAAAUAGAGCAUCUAUACUGAUUCACAUAAUGGCUACAGUUUAGACUAAUUGUUAACCAAUUGACUUUCUUACUUUUUUCAUUCUUUGACCUACACUGCCUUAGUAAUUAACCAGAUGUGCAGGCUAGCUUUAAAUUUUACUGCCCGUUUCCCUAUUAAAUGUAAAUGAGAAAACAGAGCUGUUUUUAUACAUGUAACUUGUUUCCCUAUUAAAUGUAAAUGAGAAAACAGAGCUGUUUUUAUACAUGUAACUUGUUUCCCUAUUAAAUGUAAAUGAGAAAACAGAGCUGUUUUUAUACAUGUAACUUGUUUCCCUAUUAAAUGUAAAUGAGAAAACAGAGCUGUUUUUAUACAUGUAACUUGUUUCCUUAUUAAAUGUAAAUGAGAAAACAGAGCUGUUUUUAUACAUGUAACUUGUUUCCCUAUUAAAUGUAAAUGAGAAAACAGCUGUUUUUAUACAUGUAACUUGUUUCCCUAUGACUUGAAGAGUCAACAGUCUUGCACUCUCAUGCAUGAUGAAUUACACUAUUGUGUUUGCUCAGAUAUCUGUCAAAGUUGUUUUAUUAUUUUAGCAAGUUUUUAUUUAUUUGAAACAAGUGAGGGCUAAACUUUAAUAUUCAUUAACAUUGAACACUUCUGUGAGGGUAUUCCCUUUGAAAGCUCCUGCAACUAAGCAGCUGCAAAAUAUGUUGUAUAGCAUUCCUUUGGAUUUCACCAAAUAGAACACAUGGUCAUGAUACUCUUGGGGCAUACAUUGAAUAUGGAGGCAGAAGGAGCCAUACAUUUAUAGAUAUUUGUUUAUAUUGUAUAAACAUUUUUCAAUUACUUUUUCUCAAAGAAUAGAGCUGACAUUUGUAACAUUGUUCAAAUGAAUUGUACAAAUGAUGCAAUAUUUUACAUGAUAUUGAAACAAAAAACUAUGCCAAUUUUAAUAAAGGGUAAAAUGACUUAAACAUUCUAAAAAUAUGUAUAUGUUGUAUAAAACUGUAAUGUGUAAUGAAGAUUUAAAUUAAAUUAUUUGAUAUUUUGGGUUUUUGGCACAUCGGCACAAUUUAGGCCAUGCCGUGACUAUUUAAAAUUGAUAUGUAAUAUACUUUUGUACAAGUGAAACUUUUUUAUUAUUACUUCAUGUUUUGUUGAACUGUAUAUAAAUAUAGGGCUUUGUAUUUAUGGAUGUAUAAAAAAAAAUGUAUAUAAAUCUAUUGAAAGGCAUUUUUAUUUCUAUUCCAAUGGAGGCUACUAUUCUCAAUUUUACACAUCUUGAGCGUGAAGCUAUAAUUUGGCUGCUUAGAUUACUGUGUAAAAUUAUUAACAGAGAAGAGGGGGAAGGGCGGUGGCCAAGAGGUUAAGCGCUUGACUUCUGAAUUUGGGGUUCUGGGUUCAAAUCUCGGUGGAGACUGGGAUUUUAAUAUUCGGGAUUCUUAUGGGUACCUAACUAUAGUUGGGGUAAGUAAAGGCGGUUGGUUGUUGCGCUGGCCACAUGACACCCUGCUAGUUAACCAUUGGCUACAGAAACAGAUGACCUUAACAUCAUCUGCCCCAUAGAUCACAAGGUCUGAGAAGGGGAAACUUUACUUAACUUUACUAACAGAGAAGAAAAUAAAUUCCAUCAUUAUCUGAAGAAAAGCCACUGGUCUUUGUACUGACCUGGGUGGACAGCCAAUCAACAUAGUCCUAGAUUUUAUAUACCAGAACUAAGGUAGUAUAGAAACUAAAAAAAGGAUAUGCAGAACUUAAAGAUUUGCAAAAAAAUGGUCAGGAUACUGCAAGUUAAACAAAAUAAAUUUGUUCCAUGAUUAUGAUCGAACUUGAUAUAAAAAUGCACCUAUUCAAAAGGUAUGUGCCAUAAUUUAUUAUUCUAUAUGAUACUCAUAAGGCUUUAAAUUGUUUUAUGGGAGGCUAAAGUACAAAUAUUCUGAACCAAAUGGUGAGCUAAAAUAUUCAAUAAUAUAUACUACAAAGAUAUUCCAACAAUGUAACCCUAAUAGCUGUUUCCCUACUCCUUCACAUUCUUUCACAAGCUAAUUUGAAAACGAAAUGUAUAAUCUAGUUGUUUUUUUUCUGCUUUGACAUUUAUGUAGGUAGUAGGAAAUUGAUAAUUUCUUGACACAUUUGAAAAGAGUAGAAUAUAUCCUAAUAUCAGCACUUCCAAAGGAAACAAGCUGAGGAGACAAAUGCUGCUACACAAUGACAUAAUUGAAGACAUGGAGUUUUCCAUCCACUUGGAAUGUAGUAUGUCUGAUGGUAAAACAAAGUAGGAGUUAUUCUGAGCAUCCUAUAGGACAGUGAAUCAUGAAGGAGAAUGAGAAAUAACUAAUUCAAUGUCAUCUAUCAGACACUGGCCCAUGCAGACUUGGAAGUGUCAUUUACUCUGGCCACCUCAAGAAUGAAGUAACACAGCAAUGAAGAGUUACUUUGAAUAGGAAACUGUAUGUAUUAGAAGAGGGUUAUGUUGAAAGCCACUUCCUUCAAACUAAAGCCCACAGGCAUCCCAAGGUUGGACCUAAUUGGAAACACAAAAAUUAUAUAUACAGCAGCAACUCAUGAUCACCUCAAAGGAAAAAUUAAAAAUUGCUGAAAGUGAAAGAGGCUAACCAUUACUACAAUAUAAUAAUUUAUAAUCUGUGUUACUAUCAAUAAGCUUACAUUUCAAUUCUUUGCAUGAUUUAUGUUUUAAUACUUUUUUGAGCAUUAAUUUGCAAACAUUUUGAUUUGGUUAAUGGAUAAGUAAAAUUGAAGUACUUCAAUAUUAUGAGAACACAAGGAUAUGACCAAAGCAACCUGAUUAUAUGCUCUGUUUCUUAGAUGUGUGGCUCUUAAGAUAAUCUUUUGUGUGGGUUUAUAUUUUUUAUCCUCCACUUCCUUUUAUGAAACAAACCAGCAUGAAUCCGUUAAAUAAAGACACAACUUUUGUCCAAAUGGCUUUAUAGUUUAUUGUAUUUUCAGACGAUACAAAAGUACUGGGAAAAUUUGAAUCAAUCAAGACAAAACAAAUUCAAACUCAUUAAAUUUUAUCAACCGCCUCACUUUAUAUAUGGAACAAUUUAAGAUAUGUAUUAUAUUGCAUUUUGAAGGAUUUAGAU